UUUGCUUCUUCAAAGAGACAAGCAGACUCUCUGGAGCAGUGAUUCUCAGCUUGGAAGACUGUCCUGCACCAGCCUCUACCCUUCCCGGGAUAGUUUGCAGAGUUCAGGAACAGUUAGGGCCCCUUUCCAGGGGUGCAGCCACACCCUGCAUUCUGCUUGAGCAGAGUGGUUCAAACUGGCCUCAAAAGACUCACCUGCCAAUGUUCCUGAGUCCUGCUGAUUAACCAGCAUCAGAAACAGGCACUGUGUCACAGAGUACUUUGGUCUUUAAGGAUAUUAGGAGAGUGGGGGCUAAGGUGGGGCCUGUCAGCCUCUUAGCCAUCGGAGCGCUCACAGUGCACUGUAUGGAUAUCCUGCUGAACUGUGCCUGCCAUCUCACUUCGAGAUUGCAGAGGAGUUUUGUGAACUAUGAAGAGACCACAAUGUACAGCCUGGAGACAUGCCCAAGUCCUUGGCUGAGGACGCACUCUGUGUGGGGCAGGUACGUCGUAAGCUUCCUGCUCAUCGUCACUCAGCUGGGCUUCUGCAGUGUGUACUUCAUGUUUAUGGCAGACAAUUUACAACAGAUCGUGGAAGAAGCUCACUUCACCUCCAAUGUCUGCCAGCCUAGGCAGAGCCUGGUGAUGACGUCCAUCCUGGACACUCGCUUCUAUAUGCUCACCAUCCUGCCCUUCCUCAUCCUUCUGGUACUCGUCCAGAACCCACAGG
rnacentral:lncRNA from 1 species